CGCGGCCUAUCAGCUUGUUGGUGAGGUAACGGCCCACCAAGGCGACGACGGGUAGCCGGCCUGAGAGGGUGACCGGCCACACUGGGACUGAGACACGGCCCAGACUCCUACGGGAGGCAGCAGUGGGGAAUAUUGCACAAUGGGCGCAAGCCUGAUGCAGCGACGCCGCGUGAGGGAUGACGGCCUUCGGGUUGUAAACCUCUUUCAGCAGGGAAGAAGCGAAAGUGACGGUACCUGCAGAAGAAGCGCCGGCUAACUACGUGCCAGCAGCCGCGGUAAUACGUAGGGCGCAAGCGUUGUCCGGAAUUAUUGGGCGUAAAGAGCUCGUAGGCGGUCUGUCGCGUCGGAUGUGAAAGCCCGGGGCUUAACCCCGGGUCUGCAUUCGAUACGGGCAGACUAGAGUGUGGUAGGGGAGAUCGGAAUUCCUGGUGUAGCGGUGAAAUGCGCAGAUAUCAGGAGGAACACCGGUGGCGAAGGCGGAUCUCUGGGCCAUUACUGACGCUGAGGAGCGAAAGCGUGGGGAGCGAACAGGAUUAGAUACCCUGGUAGUCCACGCCGUAAACGGUGGGAACUAGGUGUUGGCGACAUUCCACGUCGUCGGUGCCGCAGCUAACGCAUUAAGUUCCCCGCCUGGGGAGUACGG
rnacentral:rRNA from 1 species